rnacentral:ncRNA from 2 species
AUUGAAUAUAAAACAUUAGGUUCUGUAAGAUUAAUAGGGAAAGCGGUGAAAGUCCGCUGCAGCCCCCGCUACUGUAAUCGUGGACGAAAUCAACUUAUACCACUGAGUUCUCUCGGGAAGGUGUUGAGAAUAGGAUGAUACGAAAGCCAGGAGACCUGCCUAAUUGUUUGGAGCAAG